rnacentral:rRNA from 1 species
CAGUCGAACGAAGCUUGACGGAUGAUUUCUUCGGAAUGAAACCAGAUAUGACUUAUUGGCGGACGGGUGAGUAACACGUGAGCAACCUGCCUUUCAGAGGGGGAUAACGGCUGGAAACGGUCGCUAAUACCGCAUGACGUGUUCGGAUGGCAUCAUCUGAACAUCAAAGAUUUAUCGCUGAAAGAUGGGCUCGCGUCUGAUUAGAUAGUUGGUGGGGUAACGGCCUACCAAGUCUACGAUCAGUAGCCGGACUGAGAGGUUGAACGGCCACAUUGGGACUGAGAUACGGCCCAGACUCCUACGGGAGGCAGCAGUGGGGAAUAUUGCACAAUGGGGGAAACCCUGAUGCAGCAACGCCGCGUGAAGGAUGACGGUUUUCGGAUUGUAAACUUCUUUUCUUAGUGACGAAGACAGUGACGGUAGCUAAGGAAUAAGCAUCGGCUAACUACGUGCCAGCAGCCGCGGUAAUACGUAGGAUGCAAGCGUUAUCCGGAUUUACUGGGUGUAAAGGGAGCGCAGGCGGGACUGCAAGUUGGAUGUGAAAUACCGUGGCUUAACCACGGAACUGCAUCCAAAACUGUAGUUCUUGAGUGAAGUAGAGGCAAGCGGAAUUCCGAGUGUAGCGGUGAAAUGCGUAGAUAUUCGGAGGAACACCAGUGGCGAAGGCGGCUUGCUGGGCUUUAACUGACGCUGAGGCUCGAAAGUGUGGGGAGCAAACAGGAUUAGAUACCCUGGUAGUCCACACUGUAAACGAUGAUAGCUAGGUGUGGGGGGUCUGAC